rnacentral:rRNA from 1 species
UACGAAGGGGGCUAGCGUUGCUCGGAAUGACUGGGCGUAAAGGGCGCGUAGGCGGCGGUCACAGUCAGAUGUGAAAUUCCUGGGCUUAACCUGGGGGCUGCAUUUGAUACGUGGUUGCUUGAGUGGGGAAGAGGGUCGUGGAAUUCCCAGUGUAGAGGUGAAAUUCGUAGAUAUUCGCAAGAACACCAGUGGCGAAGGCGGCUCACUGGCCCGGUUCUGACGCUGAGGCGCGAAAGCGUGGGGAGCAAACGGG